UCGAAUUCUCUCAGGAGGAGUGAAGAUGCCUGAACCACAGUCAGUGGGAACUGUACAGAGAUGUGAUGUUAGAGACCUACGGACACCUCGUCUUCUUGGGUCUUGUUAUGUCAAAGCCAGGCCUGAUCAUCUUUUUGGAACAAAAGAGGGAGCUAUGGGAUGUGUAAAGAAAGGAGACAGUAGCCUCAUACCCAGUUCCAUUUUUGAGGUGCAUCUGUGGAUCAGUUGCUGAAAGAUCUGACUUCAGCUGACGUCAUGAUCCCACAGUCAGUGAAGUCUGAGUCCCGCACAGGCCUCAGUGAUGACAGCACAGAGCAACCUUGGAGUCCUGUCUCCCUCUCUCUCUGCUCCUUCCCUACUUGGUC